UUAUAUUUGUAGCAAUACAGAUAUAACUUAGUGGCAGACGGGUGAGUAACACGUAGGUAACCUACCCUCGAGCGGGGGGCAACUCAGGGAAACUUGGGCUAAUACCGCAUAAGACCACGGACUGGGAUGUUUGUGGGAAAAGGAGCAAUCCACUUGGGGAUGGGCCUGCGGCCUAUCAGGUAGUUGGUGGGGUAAAGGCCUACCAAGCCAGAGACGGGUAGCCGGUCUGAGAGGACGAACGGCCACACUGGAACUGAGACACGGUCCAGACUCCUACGGGAGGCAGCAGUGGGGAAUUUUGCACAAUGGGCGAAAGCCUGAUGCAGCGACGCCGCGUGGAGGACGAAGGCCUUCGGA
rnacentral:rRNA from 1 species